rnacentral:rRNA from 1 species
AUUGAACGCUGGCGGCAGGCUUAACACAUGCAAGUCGAGCGAGCGGCGGACGGGUGAGUAAUGUCUGGGAAACUGCCUGAUGGAGGGGGAUAACUACUGGAAACGGUAGCUAAUACCACAUAACAUCAGAUGUGCCCAGAUGGGAUUAGCUAGUAGGUGGGGUAAAGGCUCACCUAGGCGACGAUCCCUAUCUGGUCUGAACGGAUGACCAUCCACACUGGAACUGAGGCACGGUCCAGACUCCUACGGGAGGCAGCAGGGGUGAAUAGUGCACAAUGGGCUCAAGCCUGAUGCAGCCAUGCCGCGUGUGUGAAGAAGUCCUUCGGGUUGUAAAGCACUUUCAGCGAGGAGGCGUUACUCGCAGAAGAAGCACCGGCUAACUCCGUGCCAGCAGCCGCGGUAAUUC